GACGAACGCUGGCGGCGUGCUUAACACACGCAAGUCGAACGGAAAGGCCCUGCUUGCCGGGUACUCGAGUGGCGAACGGGUGAGUAACACGUGGGUGAUCUGCCCUGCACUUCGGGAUAAGCCUGGGAAACUGGGUCUAAUACCGGAUAGGAGCCAUUUUUAGUGUGAUGGUUGGAAAGUUUUUUCGGUGUAGGAUGAGCUCGCGGCCUAUCAGCUUGUUGGUGGGGUAAUGGCCUACCAAGGCGGCGACGGGUAGCCGGCCUGAGAGGGUGGACGGCCACAUUGGGACUGAGAUACGGCCCAGACUCCUACGGGAGGCAGCAGUGGGGAAUAUUGCACAAUGGGCGCAAGCCUGAUGCAGCGACGCCGCGUGGGGGAUGACGGCCUUCGGGUUGUAAACUCCUUUCGCUAGGGACGAAGCUUUUUGUGACGGUACCUAGAUAAGAAGCACCGGCUAACUACGUG
rnacentral:rRNA from 1 species